rnacentral:rRNA from 1 species
ACGCUCGACACCUACGGGAGCAGCAGUCGGGAAUAUUGCGCAAUGGAGGAAACCCUGACGCAGUGACGCCGCGUAUGGGAAGAAGGUUUUCGGAUUGUAAACCAUUUUAGACAAGGAAGAAACAAGACAGUACUUGUAGAAUAAGCUCCGGCUAACUACGUGCCUGCAGCCGCGGUAAUCUGAGCGGGCUGGCAAGGC